rnacentral:rRNA from 1 species
GAUGAACGCUGGCGGCGUGCUUAACACAUGCAAGUCGAACGGAAAGGCCCUGCUUUCAGUUUACUCGUGUUGCGAACGGGUGAGUAAGUCACGGGUGAUCUGCCCUGCUCUUCGGCUUAGGCAUGUUCAACUGGGUGUAAUUCCGGACAGAUGCUAUCUUUAGCGUCGUGGUUGGAAAGUUUAUUCCGUUUUGGAUGAGCUCGCGGCGUAUCUGCUUGCUGGUUUGGUUAUGUCCUACCAAGGCGGCGUCGGGUAGCCGGCCUGAGUGGGUGUACGGCCACAUAGGGACCGAGAUAAGGCACAGACUCGUAAGGGAGGGAGAAGUGGGGAAGAUUGAACAAUGGGCGCCAGGCUGAUGAAGAGAGGCCGCGUGGGGGAUGAAGGCGUUAGUGUUGUAAACUACUUUUGCUAGGGACGAAGCAUUUUUGUGACGGUACCUAGCAAAGAAGCACCGGCUAACUACGUG